rnacentral:rRNA from 1 species
CCUACGGGGGGCAGCAGUGAGGAAUAUUGGUCAAUGGACGAGAGUCUGAACCAGCCAAGUAGCGUGAAGGAUGACUGCCCUAUGGGUUGUAAACUUCUUUUAUAAAGGAAUAAAACGCGGCACGUGUGCCUUUUUGAAUGUACUUUAUGAAUAAGGAUCGGCUAACUCCGUGCCAGCAGCCGCGGUAAUACGGAGGAUCCGAGCGUUAUCCGGAUUUAUUGGGUUUAAAGGGAGCGUAGAUGGGUUGUUAAGUCAGCUGUGAAAGUUUGCGGCUCAACCGUAAAAUUGCAAUUGAUACUGGCAGUCUUGAGUACAGUGGAGGUAGGCGGAAUUCGUGGUGUAGCGGUGAAAUGCUUAGAUAUCACGAAGAACCCCGAUUGCGAAGGCAGCUUACUAAACUGUUACUGACAUUGAUGCUCGAAAGUGUGGGUAUCAAACAGGAUUAGAUACCCGGGUAGUC